rnacentral:lncRNA from 1 species
UAAAAUCACCUAUGCCCAACAGAGUGAAAAGGUGCCCUCUUGCGAGACAGCCACCGAAAAAGCACUGCUAUUGCUUCGUGCUUGCUCUUCUUCCUAAUUCAAAACAAAACGAAACAACCAAAAUUAAUCACCUAGAUAUUUUCAAGGAGAAGUUUCAGCUCCCUGCUGCUACCUAAUAACAAACUGAGCAGUUAAACCUUCAAGAGAGUCCAAUAUGGGAUCAAAUAAAGACAAAAGCUGAAGAGUGGGCUUAUCACAGUUGAGUACUGGUCGGCUCCGAGGAAAACUGCUGCAAGAGAAAAGGUACCAACCUUCCAAACACACAGGAGGCAUUGCUAACCAUUCCUUCCCAGCCAUAGUCACUGCUGCAAAGGAUAGAGUAGGUUUUAUUUUAUUUCAUUUUUCCCCAGCAAGCCUCAGCCUAAGGAAAAGCUAGUCUCUCACAAGAUGCCAGGCAAUUGAAAGAGCCGUUCUGUCAGGGGCUUGAGGCAGGGGGAGUGUAUUUUCUAAGAUUUUCCGAUACUAAAACCCAUUUAGGACUGUUGAGAGAAAUCUCUCCGACGGAGGAUUUAGCUCCUGCUAAUCCUUAAGUGACUUGUUUUGACAGGGUCUUUGUAAAAGAUUUUUCUCAGGAACUUUGCUUUGCUCUCAAGUAGCAAUUACUGAAUUGUCCCCCAGAACCUCUCUCUUCAUCCUUCUCUUCUUGCUGGAUGCCAGCUAAUGAACUUGAUGCAUGCUCCAAGACACCAAGUGAAUCCAAUCACAACUGUUUACUGUAGAAAGUCAAGACUCUCAGGAUUUCUGCGGAUAUUCCGUUUCUCUCUCUCUAGCCUCUGGGUAUCAGGGACCUGGAUUUUAUUCCAUGUGUCAUGCGGCCUCCUCAGCAAAUUCUUUGACUCCCGGCUUGGGGAAGCAGAGCCCUACUUUUCUUUUAUCCUUCACUUUCUCUACAUAAAGCCAUUUCCCCCUGCCUGCGUGUGGAAGGAGCACGGGGACCCCUCAGUUUUUAAAGCCUCCUGGUGUUUGCUUUUUGCUCAGCUUGGCAUUAUAUUUUCAGAGGUGACAAUGUGACAGUGGCAGCCGGUGUGCACGGCUCACCUCCCUGUGAAAGGGACCCCUUGAUGCUAUGACAACAGGGCCUCAUGUAUGUGUGUCUUUCUUUCCCACUGCCCGCUGUGUUAUGAAGAGAUUUUCAAAUUCGACCUCACAUCUUGUCUGCCACGUUUUAAUUAAGUCCCAUACCAGGAGAGGCUUAAAGGUAACUUUCUAAUCCAGUGUUUUUCAGAGUGUGGUUCCAAGAUGGGCAGCCCCAGCAUCGCCUUUUAGAGACAGAUGCUGGGAAUAAGGCAAGGCCUCAGUUGGUAAAGUGUUUAGUUUGAAAGCAUGAAGACCUGAGUUCAAUCCGUACAGCUGAGGUAACUGCUAUAGGUAUGGCAGCAGGCACCUGCAUUCCCAGCUCUGGGGAGGCAGAGAUGGAAGGAUCUUGGGGGAGGGGGGCUCAUUAGACAGCCAGUUCCGCUGGAUCACAAAUCUCCAGGUUCACUGAGAGAUCCUGUCUCACAAACUAAGGUGGAGAUUGAAGAAGACACCUAAUGUCUACCUCUGGCCUUCAUGUGCACACAUACACGCACAUGCACACGCACACGCACACGCACUUGUGAGGAGGAGGGAGAGAGAGGAAGGGGAGAGAAAGAAAGAGAUCUGCUGAUCCCCAGAACCCAACCCAGACCUACAGACUGGAAACUGUAGGAAAGGCCCCUCUCAUACAUCCUGCAAUGUUCUCAGAGCUCCAGGUCUUCAGCUCGCACAAUGGACCACGCUACUUUAUCUACCUUGAGAACGUACCACAAAGCAACCUGCCUCCAAAAUUACCAGACUCUCCUCCCUCAAAACUCCCACAUUUGUGACUCCACACCCCUUUUUGAUUUUGGACUUCAAACACUUUGUCUGCAAAAUUAGGUUUCUGGCUGCGAUUUAUGACUGUAUUCGCUUUGAUUGUUUCUUAAUUUCGGUAAACCCUGUCAAUUACAGGACUGUUAUGUGAGGGUGUGGCGGGAGAGACUGUUGGCUUUUUAUGAAAGUGUACCAAACUCCAGACAAGCAUUAACAUAUUGCAUUUUAAAUGCUUCUGGAGACUAAAAGCUGCCUACUUUAAUCCUCUUGUCAAUGAGGUGCUGAGU